CAGGGUGUCGUUCGCGAACGUAAGUCAAGUUGGUGUAAUUUCAUAGCGUGGCAGCGCCAUCGGAGGAAUAAGCGUUUGGCGCCGCGUGCAGUUGAUUGUGACGUAUGAUACUCGUACAUUAUGCACCUCGCGCUUCGUCUCGGUUUCGAGUUUCGACAUUUUUCUCGGUGCUUUAUUACACGCUCGAGAUAUUUCUGCUCCGCGGUAAUACAUCCGUGGAGAGCGGACACGGACAAGUGCGUUCGUGUACACACUUUUCUACAAUCUAUAACGCAGUGCAUUGCCAUAUCUGCAAAAUAAAUGCAACAAGUUAAUGCACGAAAGUUUUAUCCCAGUUUUUUACCGACGAAUUUUACCGUGCAGAGAUGUUAUAUUAACGUAGGAAACUCUCUGUUAAAAAGUUAUAACGAGAACAGGAAAUUUGGACUAUUUUGUCUUUUGGUAUCACAGCAUUCUGGUAAACACAGAGAGAAGUGUAAUUAUGCGUGGUUUUAAAGAGCAAAACAGUCCCUUGUCAUUUCGUUUUUAUUUUUGACAGUUUAAGUAUUUUGUCAAUAAAUUUUUAUGGAAUAUUGCUUCAUGCAUAUUUUUUUCGAGGCUCUAAAAUCCCAAAUAAAGUUUAAUACAUUCAACUGCAAGAAC